rnacentral:rRNA from 1 species
CCUACGGGUGGCAGCAGUGAGGAAUAUUGGUCAAUGGGAGAGAUCCUGAACCAGCCAAGUAGCGUGAGGGAAGACUGCCCUACGGGUUGUAAACUUCUUUUAUCGAGGAAUAAAGUGAGGCACGUGUCCCUUUCUGCGUGUACUUUAUGAAUAAGGAUCGGCUAACUCCGUGCCAGCAGCCGCGGUAAUACGGAGGAUGCGAGCGUUAUCCGGAUUUAUUGGGUUUAAAGGGAGCGUAGAUGGGUUGUUAAGUCAGUUGUGAAAGUUUGCGGCUCAACCGUAAAAGUGCAAUUGAUACUGGCAGCCUUGAGUACAGUAGAGGUACGCGGAAUGCGUGGUGUAGCGGUGAAAUGCAUAGAUAUCACGAAGAACUCCGAUUGCGAAGGCAGCUUACUAA